rnacentral:rRNA from 1 species
CGGGUGAGUAAUACAUAAGUAACCUGCCCUAGACAGGGGGAUAACUAUUGGAAACGAUAGCUAAGACCGCAUAGGUACGGACACUGCAUGGUGACCGUAUUAAAAGUGCCUCAAAGCACUGGUAGAGGAUGGACUUAUGGCGCAUUAGCUGGUUGGCGGGGUAACGGCCCACCAAGGCGACGAUGCGUAGCCGACCUGAGAGGGUGACCGGCCACACUGGGGCUGAGACACGGCCCAGACUCCUACGGGAGGCAGCAUG